rnacentral:rRNA from 1 species
CGGCGGACGGGUGAGUAACGCGUGGGUAACCUGCCUCAUACAGGGGGAUAACAGUUAGAAAUGACUGCUAAUACCGCAUAAGACCACGGUACCGCAUGGUACAGUGGUAAAAACUCCGGUGGUAUGAGAUGGACCCGCGUCUGAUUAGGUAGUUGGUGGGGUAACGGCCUACCAAGCCGACGAUCAGUAGCCGACCUGAGAGGUUGACGGCCACAUUGGGACUGAGACACGGCCCAG